rnacentral:misc_RNA from 1 species
AAGAAAAUGAACUGCCGCGUGUGCUAGAGACUGUAGACAGCGAGGCGGCGCGCUACGCUCUGGAGCAACUCGCGCAGGAAGCGCUGCGACACGCGCACGACGCGGCGCGCUCCCGCCGCACCCUCGCAGACACGCGCGCGCAGCUGCUCGAGCUGGAGGAGAAAUCAGAGCGCGACGCGAGCGCGCUGCUUGCAGCGGAGCAGCAGAGUGCGCAGGCGUGGCCCGCGCCGGCGCUGGCCGCGCUGCUGGCGCACGUGUCCUCCGGGACCUCCACGCGCUCCGUGUCGCCCGUCGACAG